UACGGGGGGGGUAAGCGUUGUUCGGAAUUACUGGGCGUAAAGGGCUCGUAGGCGGCCAACUAAGUCAGACGUGAAAUCCCUCAGCUUAACUGGGGAACUGCGUCUGAUACUGGAUGGCUUGGAUUUGGGAGAGGGAUGCGGAAUUCCAGGUGUAGCGGUGAAAUGCGUAGAUAUCUGGAGGAACACCGGUGGCGAAGGCGGCAUCCUGGACCAGUAUUGACGCUGAGGAGCGAAAGCCAGGGGAGCAAACGGG
rnacentral:rRNA from 1 species